UGCAGUCGAGCGAUGACGAGAAGCUUGCUUCUCUGAUUUAGCGGCGGACGGGUGAGUAACACGUGGGCAACCUGCCCUACAGAUCGGGAUAACUCAGGGAAACCUGGGCUAAUACCGGAUAAUCCUUCGAAUCACAUGUUUUGAAGUUGAAAGGCGCUUCGGCGUCACUGUAGGAUGGGCCCGCGGUGCAUUAGCUAGUUGGUGGGGUAACGGCCUACCAAGGCAACGAUGCAUAGCCGACCUGAGAGGGUGAUCGGCCACAUUGGGACUGAGACACGGCCCAAACUCCUACGGGAGGCAGCAGUAGGGAAUCUUCCACAAUGGACGAAAGUCUGAUGGAGCAACGCCGCGUGAGUGAUGAAGGUUUUCGGAUCGUAAAACUCUGUUGUAAGGGAAGAACAAGUACGUUAGGAAAUGAACGUACCUUGACGGUACCUUAUUAGAAAGCCACGGCUAACUACGUGCCAGCAGCCGCGGUAAUACGUAGGUGGCAAGCGUUGUCCGGAUUUAUUGGGCGUAAAGCGCGC
rnacentral:rRNA from 1 species